rnacentral:rRNA from 2 species
CAUACAUGCAAGUCGAGCGAACUGAUUAGAAGCUUGCUUCUAUGACGUUAGCGGCGGACGGGUGAGUAACACGUGGGCAACCUGCCUGUAAGACUGGGAUAACUUCGGGAAACCGAAGCUAAUACCGGAUAGGAUCUUCUCCUUCGUGGGAGAUGAUUGAAAGAUGGUUUCGGCUAUCACUUACAGAUGGGCCCGCGGUGCAUUAGCUAGUUGGUGAGGUAACGGCUCACCAAGGCAACGAUGCAUAGCCGACCUGAGAGGGUGAUCGGCCACACUGGGACUGAGACACGGCCCAGACUCCUACGGGAGGCAGCAGUAGGGAAUCUUCCGCAAUGGACGAAAGUCUGACGGAGCAACGCCGCGUGAGUGAUGAAGGCUUUCGGGUCGUAAAACUCUGUUGUUAGGGAAGAACAAGUACGAGAGUAACUGCUUGUACCUUGACGGUACCUAACCAGAAAGCCACGGCUAACUACGUGCCAGCAGCCGCGGUAAUACGUAGGUGGCAAGCGUUAUCCGGAAUUAGUGGGCGUAAAGCGCGCGCAGGCGGUUUCUUAAGUCUGAUGUGAAAGCCCACGGCUCAACCGUGGAGGGUCAUUGGAAACUGGGGAACUUGAGUGCAGAAGAGAGAGCGGAAUUCCACGUGUAGCGGUGAUAUGCGUAGAGAUGUGGAAGAACACUGUGGCGAAGCGGCUUUUGGUCUGUUCUGACGCUGAGGCGCAAAGCGUGGGGAGCACCAGGUUAUAUACCUGGUAUCCACCCGUAAAAAUGAGUGCUAGUGUGAGAGGGUUCCGCCCUUUGUGCUGCAGCAACGCAUUAUCACUCCCC